UUAAUGAGAGUUUGAUCCUGGCUCAGGACGAACGCUGGCGGCGUGCCUAAUACAUGCAAGUAGAACGCUGAGGUUUGGUGUUUACACUAGACUGAUGAGUUGCGAACGGGUGAGUAACGCGUAGGUAACCUGCCUCAUAGCGGGGGAUAACUAUUGGAAACGAUAGCUAAUACCGCAUAAGAGUAAUUAACACAUGUUAGUUAUUUAAAAGGAGCAAUUGCUUCACUGUGAGAUGGACCUGCGUUGUAUUAGCUAGUUGGUGAGGUAAAGGCUCACCAAGGCGACGAUACAUAGCCGACCUGAGAGGGUGAUCGGCCACACUGGGACUGAGACACGGCCCAGACUCCUACGGGAGGCAGCAGUAGGGAAUCUUCGGCAAUGGACGGAAGUCUGACCGAGCAACGCCGCGUGAGUGAAGAAGGUUUUCGGAUCGUAAAGCUCUGUUGUUAGAGAAGAACGUUGGUAGGAGUGGAAAAUCUACCAAGUGACGGUAACUAACCAGAAAGGGACGGCUAACUACGUGCCAGCAGCCGCGGUAAUACGUAGGUCCCGAGCGUUGUCCGGAUUUAUUGGGCGUAAAGCGAGCGCAGGCGGUUCUUUAAGUCUGAAGUUAAAGGCAGUGGCUUAACCAUUGUACGCUUUGGAAAC
rnacentral:rRNA from 1 species